AUUGAACGCUGGCGGCAUGCCUUACACAUGCAAGUCGAACGGUAACAGGUCUUCGGAUGCUGACGAGUGGCGAACGGGUGAGUAAUACAUCGGAACGUGCCCGAUCGUGGGGGAUAACGGAGCGCAAGCUUUGCUAAUACCGCAUACGAUCUACGGAUGAAAGCAGGGGACCGCAAGGCCUUGCGCGGACGGAGCGGCCG
rnacentral:rRNA from 1 species